rnacentral:rRNA from 1 species
UUAAGCGACUAAGCGUACACGGUGGAUGCCCUGGCAGUCAGAGGCGAUGAAGGACGUGCUAAUCUGCGAUAAGCGUCGGUAAGGUGAUAUGAACCGUUAUAACCGGCGAUUUCCGAAUGGGGAAACCCAGUGUGAUUCGUCACACUAUCAUUAACUGAAUCCAUAGGUUAAUGAGGCGAACCGGGGGAACUGAAACAUCUAAGUACCCCGAGGAAAAGAAAUCAACCGAGAUUCCCCCAGUAGCGGCGAGCGAACGGGGAGCAGCCCAGAGCCUGAAUCAGUGUGUGUGUUAGUGGAAGCGUCUGGAAAGGCGUGCGAUACAGGGUGACAGCCCCGUACACAAAAAUGCACAUGCUGUGAGCUCGAUGAGUAGGGCGGGACACGUGGUAUCCUGUCUGAAUAUGGGGGGACCAUCCUCCAAGGCUAAAUACUCCUGACUGACCGAUAGUGAACCAGUACCGUGAGGGAAAGGCGAAAAGAACCCCGGCGAGGGGAGUGAAAAAGAACCUGAAACCGUGUACGUACAAGCAGUGGGAGCACGCUUAGGCGUGUGACUGCGUACCUUUUGUAUAAUGGGUCAGCGACUUAUAUUCUGUAGCAAGGUUAACCGAAUAGGGGAGCCGAAGGGAAACCGAGUCUUAACUGGGCGUUAAGUUGCAGGGUAUAGACCCGAAACCCGGUGAUCUAGCCAUGGGCAGGUUGAAGGUUGGGUAACACUAACUGGAGGACCGAACCGACUAAUGUUGAAAAAUUAGCGGAUGACUUGUGGCUGGGGGUGAAAGGCCAAUCAAACCGGGAGAUAGCUGGUUCUCCCCGAAAGCUAUUUAGGUAGCGCCUCGUGAAUUCAUCUCCGGGGGUAGAGCACUGUUUCGGCAAGGGGGUCAUCCCGACUUACCAACCCGAUGCAAACUGCGAAUACCGGAGAAUGUUAUCACGGGAGACACACGGCGGGUGCUAACGUCCGUCGUGAAGAGGGAAACAACCCAGACCGCCAGCUAAGGUCCCAAAGUCAUGGUUAAGUGGGAAACGAUGUGGGAAGGCCCAGACAGCCAGGAUGUUGGCUUAGAAGCAGCCAUCAUUUAAAGAAAGCGUAAUAGCUCACUGGUCGAGUCGGCCUGCGCGGAAGAUGUAACGGGGCUAAACCAUGCACCGAAGCUGCGGCAGCGACACUGUGUGUUGUUGGGUAGGGGAGCGUUCUGUAAGCCUGCGAAGGUGUGCUGUGAGGCAUGCUGGAGGUAUCAGAAGUGCGAAUGCUGACAUAAGUAACGAUAAAGCGGGUGAAAAGCCCGCUCGCCGGAAGACCAAGGGUUCCUGUCCAACGUUAAUCGGGGCAGGGUGAGUCGACCCCUAAGGCGAGGCCGAAAGGCGUAGUCGAUGGGAAACAGGUUAAUAUUCCUGUACUUGGUGUUACUGCGAAGGGGGGACGGAGAAGGCUAUGUUGGCCGGGCGACGGUUGUCCCGGUUUAAGCGUGUAGGCUGGUUUUCCAGGCAAAUCCGGAAAAUCAAGGCUGAGGCGUGAUGACGAGGCACUACGGUGCUGAAGCAACAAAUGCCCUGCUUCCAGGAAAAGCCUCUAAGCAUCAGGUAACAUCAAAUCGUACCCCAAACCGACACAGGUGGUCUGGUAGAGAAUACCAAGGCGCUUGAGAGAACUCGGGUGAAGGAACUAGGCAAAAUGGUGCCGUAACUUCGGGAGAAGGCACGCUGAUAUGUAGGUGAAGUCCCUCGCGGAUGGAGCUGAAAUCAGUCGAAGAUACCAGCUGGCUGCAACUGUUUAUUAAAAACACAGCACUGUGCAAACACGAAAGUGGACGUAUACGGUGUGACGCCUGCCCGGUGCCGGAAGGUUAAUUGAUGGGGUCAGCGCAAGCGAAGCUCUUGAUCGAAGCCCCGGUAAACGGCGGCCGUAACUAUAACGGUCCUAAGGUAGCGAAAUUCCUUGUCGGGUAAGUUCCGACCUGCACGAAUGGCGUAAUGAUGGCCAGGCUGUCUCCACCCGAGACUCAGUGAAAUUGAACUCGCUGUGAAGAUGCAGUGUACCCGCGGCAAGACGGAAAGACCCCGUGAACCUUUACUAUAGCUUGACACUGAACAUUGAGCCUUGAUGUGUAGGAUAGGUGGGAGGCUUUGAAGUGUGGACGCCAGUCUGCAUGGAGCCGACCUUGAAAUACCACCCUUUAAUGUUUGAUGUUCUAACGUUGACCCGUGAUCCGGGUUGCGGACAGUGUCUGGUGGGUAGUUUGACUGGGGCGGUCUCCUCCUAAAGAGUAACGGAGGAGCACGAAGGUUGGCUAAUCCUGGUCGGACAUCAGGAGGUUAGUGCAAUGGCAUAAGCCAGCUUGACUGCGAGCGUGACGGCGCGAGCAGGUGCGAAAGCAGGUCAUAGUGAUCCGGUGGUUCUGAAUGGAAGGGCCAUCGCUCAACGGAUAAAAGGUACUCCGGGGAUAACAGGCUGAUACCGCCCAAGAGUUCAUAUCGACGGCGGUGUUUGGCACCUCGAUGUCGGCUCAUCACAUCCUGGGGCUGAAGUAGGUCCCAAGGGUAUGGCUGUUCGCCAUUUAAAGUGGUACGCGAGCUGGGUUUAGAACGUCGUGAGACAGUUCGGUCCCUAUCUGCCGUGGGCGCUGGAGAACUGAGGGGGGCUGCUCCUAGUACGAGAGGACCGGAGUGGACGCAUCACUGGUGUUCGGGUUGUCAUGCCAAUGGCACUGCCCGGUAGCUAAAUGCGGAAGAGAUAAGUGCUGAAAGCAUCUAAGCACGAAACUUGCCCCGAGAUGAGUUCUCCCUGACUCCUUGAGAGUCCUGAAGGAACGUUGAAGACGACGACGUUGAUAGGCCGGGUGUGUAAGCGCAGCGAUGCGUUGAGCUAACCGGUACUAAUGAACCGUGAGGCUUAACCUU